rnacentral:lncRNA from 1 species
ACACCUCCGGUUGCCACUUACUCCCCUCUACCCUGGAUAGCAGCUAAUCCCCUCUGCUCCCGGCAGUGCUGGGCCGCUGGGCUGAGAGGCCCAGCCCGCUGCUGGAGAGGGCAGGGAGGGGAAGGGGAGACAAGGAGGGGGGAUUACCUGAGCAAAUCGGCGUCUGAAUCCAACGAGAAUCCAAGAGGGGGGGAGAGAAAUCCGCCCCCCUCCCUCCUCAGAGGAGCCGCCGCCGCCGCUGGGCCGCCGCCGCCGCCGCGGAGCAGGAGGAGGAGGGGAGAUAAUAUAACAACAAUAAUCCGGGCCGGGAGGGGGGCUGGCUCCUCUUCCGUCUCCUCCUCAGUGCAGCGAACAUGUAGAGCCGGGGGGUGUGCGGCCGAGGCAAAUCCCUUCCCCCCGAGCCUGCUUCACAACAUCAACACGGGCCGGGCCGGGCCGCGCCGCGCCGAACCGGUUCCGAGCCGGGGAGAGCGGAGGGUGGCCGAGGGGCAGCGCUGCCAAGGGGCCGCCGCCGCCGCCGCUCCCUCCGAGAGUGCGAGCGCAGGAGGGCGGGGAGGGGCGGCCUGGGCACGAACAAAAUGCCGACCGGAAGUGCAGCGGCAGGAAUGACUCCCUCCACCGGCGCCAAACACCAGCAACCUCCCCCUUCCCUCCGCUGCCUCCUCCUCACCCGAUCGCUCCCUCGCUCCACCAGCGCCGCUUCCGCCGCUGCAGCUGGAGGGGCUCCCUUGCCUCGCCUCUCCCGGUAGUCUCCCCUCCGUAGCUCCUCUCCCUUCCACACCCCUCCGGUUGCUGCACGACCUUCUCUAUUUUUUUUUCUUUUUUUAUUUUCCCCUUCCUCCCUGCCUUUUGGUGCGCGGAACGAGACCGAAGCUUACGUUUAAACCUGCUCUGAGGAACUGUGAAGAAGGGAUUCUCUUGGAAAAAGAAUAUACGUUUUGGUGUUUUUUGUUUGUUUGUUCGGGUUUUUUUGUUGGUGGUGGUGGUUGGUUGGUUGGUUUCUUUUUGUCCUGCCUAAGCAUGGUGGAGAGGACGAGGAGGAGGACUGCCGAAGGCUGCCUCGCAGGAGGCAGACCUGGAAACAGCCCUUAAACUGAACCCUCAAGGGCGGCAGCCCCUGCAGGUGGGACACUCGCUGGAGUGACUGUCGCCGCUCAUGCCCGUUCUCUGUGGACGUGAGAGGCCGCCCCGCAGGAACCAAAGACCCGCUGCUCAAAGCAUUGCCGGGGCGAGGGAUUUCCAGAUGGACAUAGGGAACGAGAGUGACUUUCAAAAACGGACUUUUUGGACCAGCACUGGGGAAAAUACUGAUCAGGUGAAAUGUCCUUCGCUGGAGGCUCAGGCUCCACCACCACCAGAUUUACUGGAAAUAUUUUUUGUGUUGUGAAGGAGUGUUUGGAGACAGAGCAUGUCCUGGUCUGAAAGACUUUUUGAUGUUCCGCUGUACAGGUAAAACUGAAUAAUUAUAGCACAGGGUAAUAAUGAAGAAGCAUUUACAUCCCAUGAAUUAACUGUGUCUUUUGGUACUCACUUAAUGUCGAUUUGCUGCUCAGUACUUGGACAAAAUUCCUUUCAUUUCUAGAGGAAGAACUCCUUGACUGUCGACUUCAGGAAUCAGCUGGACACAGCUGUAAAUACCCUGUGACAUAUAAACACACCCUUUCAGCGCUGGAUGAAUGUUAUUUGCACAAAGGGAUAAAAUCUUACACCAGUGCACCUGAUCUCUCCAAUGCUUAGGAUUUUUUGAAUAGUGCUGUCUUUAAUACAGAUUUCAAAUGCCUCUCUUAUGCUUAAACUACUACAAAAUUCGUAAUUUUGGGUGAAUCAAAGUUUGUCUUAAAGUAUGUUUUUGCUUAAAAGCACAGAAAUGAAGAGGGCACUGGAAAACACGGUAAUUCAGUAGUGGAAAUACUAUUGUUCCAAUGACACGUAUUAACAGAGACAGAGUAAACUGGGUUCUGAAAAAAAUGUAUUACAGACCUUUGUUCCAGGUUAAUAGAAAAGAUCCUAAAAUCGUUUAUGCAUUUAUAAUUUGAAGUUAGCAAUUUGAAAUAAAGGUAAAUAAUUGGUCUUGCA